rnacentral:rRNA from 1 species
ACGCUGGCGGCAGGCCUAACACAUGCAAGUCGAGCGGUAGAGAGAAGCUUGCUUCUCUUGAGAGCGGCGGACGGGUGAGUAAUGCCUAGGAAUCUGCCUGGUAGUGGGGGAUAACGUUCGGAAACGGACGCUAAUACCGCAUACGUCCUGCGGGAGAAAGCAGGGGACCUUCGGGCCUUGCGCUAUCAGAUGAGCCUAGGUCGGAUUAGCUAGUUGGUGGGGUAAUGGCUCACCAAGGCGACGAUCCGUAACUGGUCUGAGAGGAUGAUCAGUCACACUGGAACUGAGACACGGUCCAGACUCCUACGGGAGGCAGCAGUGGGGAAUAUUGGACAAUGGGCGAAAGCCUGAUCCAGCCAUGCCGCGUGUGUGAAGAAGGUCUUCGGAUUGUAAAGCACUUUAAGUUGGGAGGAAGGGCAGUUGCCUAAUACGUAACUGUUUUGACGUUACCGACAGAAUAAGCACCGGCUAACUCUGUGCCAGCAGCCGCGGUAAUACAGAGGGUGCAAGCGUUAAUCGGAAUUACUGGGCGUAAAGCGCGCGUAGGUGGUUUGUUAAGUUGGAUGUGAAAUCCCCGGGCUCAACCUGGGAACUGCAUUCAAAACUGACUGACUAGAGUAUGGUAGAGGGUGGUGGAAUUUCCUGUGUAGCGGUGAAAUGCGUAGAUAUAGGAAGGAACACCAGUGGCGAAGGCGACCACCUGGACUGAUACUGACACUGAGGUGCGAAAGCGUGGGGAGCAAAC